AAUGAACGUUGGCGGCGUGGAUUAGGCAUGCAAGUCGCGCGGAAAGGCUCCUUCGGGAGCACUCAAGCGGCGAAAGGGAGAGUAACGCGUGGAUAUCUACCCUCGGAUCUGGGAUAGCGGCGGGAAACUGCCGGUAAUACCAGAUGACGUCUCCGGACCAAAGGUGUGAUUCCGUCCGAGGAUGAGUCCGCGUCCUAUUAGCUAGUUGGUGAGGUAACGGCCCACCAAGGCUGUGAUGGGUACCGGGUGUGAGAGCAUGGCCCGGCUCACUGGGACUGAGACACUGCCCAGACACCUACGGGAGGCUG
rnacentral:rRNA from 1 species